CCAAAGUGCUGGGAUUACAAGCGUGAGCCACCACACCCAACCUCCUCUUAUACUAACCUGGUACCUGGGCCCCAGAGCAGUCCACCAGCUUUCCCCCCUCCCCAGACUCCUCCAGAGUUAAAACUUGGAACAGAACUUGGGAACCAUUAGUUAUUAGACAUUCAUUUAUUCAGCAACUAUGUGUAGUGCACCCACUAUGCACCAGGCACUGUUCUGAGCUGUGAUCAAGGACAGGCAUGGUCCCUGCUCCACUGGAAGACCGUAAAAAAAAGCCCCCCGCCCCCACGACUGGGGCAGGAACCCUCAGAGCAUUGGGGCUAGCCUGGCUCACUGGACAGGAAGUAGCUCUGGAGUGAGAAAUCAGAGGUGAAGGAUGGGACCCACUUCCUGGAUAGAGAGAACAGCCCGCAGAGGCUCUUUGGUGGAAGGGGAAGGGACAGGGGGCCUCGGGAAGGCAAGUGCCUGGGGACAGCGAGCAUCAUAUUCGGGCACCACAGGAAGCCUUACAGGAGGGUUCUGAGCUUCACCCUGAGGGCCUGAGGAAGGGGCAGGGCAGUCCCCAGCCCACAGUCACAGGGAGCUUGGAGAUUUCCGGAGGCUGACCUGCUAUCUAGUCUGUGUGUUCAGGUCCUGAACACCGUGGGGGGCACAGUGCUGGGCGGAUGCCAGGAAGAGCUAUGCAUUUUAAUGAGCCCGCACAACCUGCCCUCUCUCCCCAGAAUCCUAGGAGGAGCAGAUGGGGCUACCGGCAGGUGGGGCGUGGCUUCCCAGUAGCAUCCCUGAGGGAAGCCAAGGACUUUGGGGCAGCAAUUGAGCUCCAAAGCCAGUGGGGAAGUGCAGUCCACUAGCCACCACCUCUCUGCUUGGCACUGACGCAAUGCAGGGCCUCCUGACUUUCAGGGCCAAAGGAAGAUUCGAGACCCCUGCCCCAGGGCUCUGGGAGAGGGAGGAAGAAUUGUCCCCAUGCUCCCUACAGUCAGGCCGACGCUCCCUCUCAGAGGCCAUCCCAGACACUCCAAGGAGGCUGGUCUUCAUGUAGGGCCCUCCUGUUCCAGAGGGAUCCGGACUGGCGGCUCUGCAGCCACGGCCUCCGGCUGACCCGGCAUCCUCUCCUCCCACAGUCUCCUCCUGCAGGAGGCCGUCCCGUUCCACCUCUGGGCGGGGGUCCAGGGUGGGAGAGGCUGACUCACCACAUAGGCGACAAGGGCACUCCCUGACUUCACCCGAUCCCAGGGACCCCCAAGGUCAGCGCAGGAGGAGGUGGACCACAGCGGAAAGUGAGGCACAGGGUGGGGAUGGGGGUUCCCAAACUGUCCUGACCCCAACCGGCUGGAGGCCACACACACACAAGCUGAAGUACAAAGGCCACUCGCCCUAGUAACACCAGAACUCCAGGGACACAAGAAGAGACCCACACCGAGGGGAGACGCGGGCGCGGGGCUCUCACACCCAGACACAGGGACACAGCGGCGGACACAGCCCCCGCCAGCCCACGGCGACACGCCCGGGACCUCCGAAGGACCCUGGCGCCUGGAGCGCCUCCCCCGCACUCGCAGACUCGGGGACACGCGAGGAUCCCGCGGAGGCAGGGCCCCGCGCUCACUCACCCGCCUCGGCCGCCCGGGCCCGCGCCUUUGUCAUGCGCGCCGCUCACAAAGGC
ensembl:lncRNA